rnacentral:rRNA from 1 species
AUGAACGCUGGCGGCGUGCUUAACACAUGCAAGUCGAACGGAAAGGCCCAAGCUUGCUUGGGUGCUCGAGUGGCGAACGGGUGAGUAACACGUGGGUGAUCUGCCCUGCACUUUGGGAUAAGCCUGGGAAACUGGGUCUAAUACCGGAUAGGACCAUCGUUUAGUGUCGGUGGUGGAAAGUUUUUCGGUGUGGGAUGAGCUCGCGGCCUAUCAGCUUGUUGGUGGGGUAAUGGCCUACCAAGGCGUCGACGGGUAGCCGGCCUGAGAGGGUGUACGGCCACAUUGGGACUGAGAUACGGCCCAGACUCCUACGGGAGGCAGCAGUGGGGAAUAUUGCACAAUGGGCGCAAGCCUGAUGCAGCGACGCCGCGUGGGGGAUGACGGCCUUCGGGUUGUAAACUCCUUUCGCCAAGGACGAAGCGUUUUGUGACGGUACUUGGAGAAGAAGCACCGGCUAACUACGUG